rnacentral:rRNA from 1 species
UACGAAGGGGGCGAGCGUUAUUCGGAAUCACUGGGCGUAAAGCGUGCGUAGGCGGUUUUGAAAGUUGGAAGUGAAAGCCCAGGGCUCAACCCUGGAAUUGCUCUCAAAACUACAAGACUCGGAUUCGGGAGAGGAUAGCGGAAUUGUCAGUGUAGCAGUGAAAUGCGUAGAUAUUGACAGGAACACCAGUGGCGCAAGCGGCUAUCUGGACCGACAUCGACGCUGAGGCACGAAAGCGUGGGGAUCAAACAGG